rnacentral:rRNA from 1 species
UACGAAGGGGCUAGCGUUGCUCGGAAUCACUGGGCGUAAAGCGCACGUAGGCGGCUUUCUAAGUCAGGGGUGAAAUCCUGGAGCUCAACUCCAGAACUGCCUUUGAUACUGGAGAGCUUGAGUCCGGAAGAGGUGAGUGGAACUCCGAGUGUAGAGGUGAAAUUCGUAGAUAUUCGGAAGAACACCAGUGGCGAAGGCGGCUCACUGGUCCGGUACUGACGCUGAUGUGCGAAAGCGUGGGGAGCAAACAGGG